ACAAGGCACUAAAGUAAGUCGCUCUGGAUAAGAGCGUCUGCUAAAUGACUUAAA
rfam:Salmo salar isolate Sally breed double haploid chromosome ssa18, whole genome shotgun sequence.